rnacentral:antisense_RNA from 1 species
AGUCGCCUCAGCCGCGGUAUGAGGGAGCGGGAGUCUUCCUUAGCUUCUCCGCCAUGGGUGUCGCUUCGUAGCCGGGCUGCUCCGGGAAAGGCCUCGUACAGCACGCAUUCACCAGAAUCCUGUCAGCUUUCCUCUUCUCAUCCAGAUGCCUGGCCAGGAUCCUCGAUAAGACCGUGACCCCCAACUUGGACACCCCAUAAGAGACAGGGUUUCGCCAUGUUGGCCAGGCUGGUCCCCAACUCCUGACCUCAUGUGAUCCACCCGCCUCGGCUUCCCAAAGUGCUGGGAUUACAGGCGUGAGCCAUCGCACCUGGCCUGAGUUUGCAUUUCUAGGUUCCCAGAUGAUGUGACAGCUACUGGUUUCCAGCCACACCUUGAGAACACUUGGCUUUGACUACCACUUCUUAAACUUAAAGGGUCUUCUCUGUCACCCAGGCUGGAGUGCAGUGCUGCAGUCGUGGCUCACUGUAGCGUCAAUCUCCUGAGCUCAGGAAAACUAGACAAUCCACCAGCCCAGGAGGGGACAAGCAGGAUUAAUCCUCCUCCUCGUCAUCUCUGGCUCCAGCCCCACCCUGGCCCUUGCUGGCAUUCUUCCUCUUCACGUGGCUGGGUUUGGCCACCCCAAUAGGGAAGCAGAGGGAGAAGUCGAUGUGCUUCUGGGAAUCCAGGCGGAUAGUGAAGAACAGGAUAUUUACCACCUGCUCACGGACACGGAUAUGACACUGUUGGAUCAGCACAUGAGCGUGGCAGAUGGACUUAGCCAAGCCAAGCUUGAAG